rnacentral:lncRNA from 1 species
AAGCCUGCACCCACCGUCCCCCACUUCAAUGACUGUCCUGGAGGCUUGUAGUCCGGCCAGGGGACUAGCACAGGCAGGCACCCAGGGCUGGCAGUGCCAGCUGUCCCGAGCAGCCAUGGGUUCCCAGCUGUAGGCGUCCAGGUUGCCAUAUGACGGCACCACCCCACGCUUGGCCCCAUGCCCACCCCGAUCCUGGACGGGCUGCCCACCUGCCUGAGGGGUGCACUGCUGCCCUGCACCAGGGGGGCCCUGAAGCCGGGUCUGUCCUCCCCCGGGGCCCUGGGGAGAGGGGGACCCUGCAAGGCUGGCACAGAGCGCAGGGAAGACGGGCUCUGUCCGUCCGUGGCUGAGGACUGUGCCGUGGCCAUGGCCCAGCAGCCAGGUGGCCUGGGAGCACCUGCCCUCCUGGCCUGGUCCAGUAACAGGGAUGCUGUGGAGCCUGCGCUGCGGGGCAGGGCUUGCAGCCUGCCCGUGUGGUCCACUGACCAGGAGGCCAGGGGAGGGGGCAGCUCAGUGUCCUCUGGCCGUCUGUCUGGCUCCUCAGGAGGCCAUGUGUCUCGCGCCCCUCCCCACGGGCCCUGGAAGGAGCGGCUGCCCCGGGGGCUGGGGUCCCAGCGGCCGCCCAGAAAGAGUGACCCCAGGCUGGAGCGGCUGCGGGACCGGAUCUGCCAGCAGGCGCGGGGACAGGUGAGCUGCGCCUCCCUGGGCACCUCGGCCCCCUCCAGCGCCUCGCGCCUCUGCUCUGCCUCCACGCCAGCGCCCCGGAGGAGGACCUACAAGGUGACAGCCGCCCUUCCAGGCCCCGCACACUCAGGACUCAGCAUCCUCCGUGUGGCGGAGCCCCGAGAGGAAGACCAGGCGCCCCUAGGCGUGGGGCAGGAGCUCUCUCGGGCCACCCGGCACCAGGCUCCGGGUCUCCGGGACAAAGCCAGGAGGACUUGGGCCCGCUCCUGCAGAAGGGACAGGGCCCCCAGGUCACUCUCGCCCGGCAGAGCUGGCAAGGGCAAAGAUCCCGAGUCUGUCGGUAUUCGCGCCUGGAGGAGAGGACAAGAGCUGGCGCGGCUGCUGCUGGGGCCGUCUCCUGCCCGGCCCGCACGCCCAAGCACCAGCCCCUCAAGGGACCUGGGCCCUGCCAUGGCAUUAGGAGACAUCAAGAGGGCUUCGGCCACUGAGGGCUCAUCAGUCCACACCUGGCCAGACAGGCUCGCCUCGGCCGGCAGUGACCCUCAGGUGUCUGAGAACACAGCCAGCCUGGCUUGCCAUGGCCAGCGGGCAAUGAUCCACACCGCCAUGGCCAUCCUACAAGACCUCCGCCAGCAAAUCCAGGCUGGGCUGGAGCUGGCUCAGGGCCCUAGGCUUGAGCCGAAGCGCAGAGCGUCCAAGCUGAAGCCGCAGAACCUAGGCCAGCAGGGUCGCUGGAGCAUCCAGCUCAGGCAGGGCUCCUGCCCGAAGAGUCCCUGCGACGUGGUAGAGGGGACGCACUCCGCCCUAGACAGGGCCAGGCGCGCCCACCCCCAGCAGCCCUCGAGCACCUCGGCCAAGUGGGAGCCCUGUCCCUCGAGGGCCUGGGAAGCCGCAGGAUGGGACCCCUGCUUCCAGAGACCUCCGAGCCCCUCUGAGAAGCUGAGCCCCUGUGCUCAGGGGCCCUGGAGUGCCUUGCCCUGGCUGGCCUGUCCUCAGUGGGCCUGGGUGCAUAAUGAAGACUGGGAGGUCCCUGACCCCAGACCAUGGAGCCCUCUGGAACGACCAUAUCUUGCCCCUCAGCGCUCCUGGAGUGGCUCCUACUCAAAGAGAGCUAGGUCCCCCUGCAAGGGCAGAGGCGCCACCACCCCUCCCUCCAAAGCCAAGCAGGCCUGGCCGUGGAGCUUACAAGGGAAGGAGCUGGGUGCAGAGCCGUUCCCACCCCACCUGCAGCCCCGGGGGGCCCUGGGCCAGUCACACAGCUCGGAGGCCCUGUGCAACUUCCUGCACCAGAAGGCACAGGCGUGGAGGCAGCAGUCCCUGCAGCAGACGGUCACAAACACAGAUGCACUGGAACGGAGAAGCCAGAAGCUUCAAGAGGUCUACCGGAAGCAGCGGGAGGCCGUGCAGGGCAAGGCAGUCUCUGUGGUCUCCCAGACGAACCCCGGCAUCGUCACCUUCGUGUCCAGUUCUGCACAGUCUGGGGACCUGAAAGCCCCUGGGAGCCUGGAGCCCCCGGAACAGGAGUGGAGCAAAGUGACUUCGGGCAUGGUGCUGGGGAACCAGGAGGUACCAGGCAGCUUCUGUCUGUGUCUGAACAGAGCAUGGAACCGCCUGGAGACGCCCCUGCCUGUGUCUGCCACCUCCUCACUGGGCUCCGUAUGGCUCCAGGACCCAGGCCGGGGGCUGCACGUCUGCUUGGACCCGCAGAUGGCUGAGCAGCUGGACCUGUCGGGCCCACUGCACACACAGCACAAGCAGGCCCGGCUGCAGGCGCUGGAGACAAUGGCCAACGUCCUGCAGCAGCGCAUCGACAUCCUGACUGCCAAGCUGCACCGGAAUGAGGCGCCAGACAGCAGCCAGGACGCAGCUUCCGAGCUGAAGUCCCUGGGGCCCAGCACCACGCCCACUGCCCCGGCCUACCCUGGGGCUUCGCUGCCCAGGGGGGACAGAGGGUCACGCGGUGAUGACUUCCUGGAUGCGGAGCCACUUCUGUGGAGCCCAGGUGCCACGCAGGAGGGACGUUGGCAGCUGGAGCACAGGCUGCAGGGACACUCAUCUCCCUUCCAGGCCGCUGGCGCCAGCAUGGGGAGCAUGCUGGGGGUGCCUGCCGCUCCACACCCCACCUGUGGCUCCCCGUGGCUGGAGGAGAGGCCGGCGGCCAGAGGGGUGGGCUUGGUGACGCCCUGGACCCCCCGGAGCUGCGGUCCCCAGGAGCCUGGGGCGCCACGUCCCAGAGGCCGAGGUGGGCACCUCGCCGACUUCCAGCUGAAGUCCUUGAGAUUCCUCGAAUCACUGAAGCAGGACCCAGGACUUGGGCUGUCACCACAGCUGGAGCAGCGGCAGCAGCAGCAGGAGCAGGCCCUGGCCCUCCUGCGGCAGCGGGCAGAGGAGGAGGUCUGGGAGACACAGAUGGCCCUGGACGGGCUGCUCUUCAAGCACCAGCUGGAGCGGCUGUUGGAGAAACACAGGCCCCGCAGCUGGCUGGGAAGGGCUUCCAAGCUGGAGCAGCCACAGAUCCAUGUGGGCCCAGCGCCCACAGCAUCGGCCCAGAGCCCCGAGCCAGCCAAAACCAGGUCACCCCCAGCCCUGGGCAGAGACGUGACCGGGUCCUCCCAGGGUCCUGAGGAGGGGCAGGCCAGUGUGGAGGGCAAGUCGGCAUCUGCAGACACCCGCAGCCAGACGGCCGCUUCCGCCGGGAAUCGGGGCUCUUCGGUCACCGCUCCCGACAGCGCAGGACCCACAUCGCCCCCUCUGGCCCCAGUGUCCUUUCGGUGGAAGCCAGGCAGCAAGGCUGUUGUCCCAGGGCUGGCCACACCCGACCCAGGCUCCGCCCGGCUGCGCCCCGCCAGACUCUGCCCUCCGGACAGCCCUGCCCACCAGGGGAGCGCGGCGGGGACCGGGAGUGCUGAGCCCGGAGCCGGCAGGGUCGGUGUCCGGCCGUGUACCGCGGCGUUGGAGCAGAGCUUGCGGGAGGAGGGGCUGCGCGCUCAGCAUUGGGCCCCGCUGCUGCGCCUGCGCGAGAUGGCGCUGGAGGAGAAGGCGCGCGCCGAGCGGGCCUGGCUGGAGCACCAGCGAGGGUGUCUGGGGCGUGGGAGCCACCAAGCCACAAGGGCUGCCUUGUUGGAGAGGACGCAGGCCCUCAGCAGGCUGGAGAAGGAGUGGAGGGAGAUCCGGGACCUGCGGGACCUGCACAGGUCAGUGCUCCAGGGCAGGCAGCAGCUGCUGCAGCAGCAGGAGGCCACAGUGCAGAGGCUGGCGACAUUGCAGCAGAGUCCCAGCCCCCAAGUCAAGCCCACCUGGCAAGGAGCCUCUGAGACAGGCCAGCAGCUGGAAGGAGCCCUGUGCCCCCAGACUGCAUGGAGGCCUGGCAGCCCCGCCAGCCCACAAGCCCACAGAGGCCCUGAGAGUGCAGAGGGCGCACGCCUUGCCCCUGAACCGUGGGAGGAGACACCCCAGACACCUGCAGAUGCCGCCGGCCACCAGCAGCCACCGAGUCCGGCCUCAGGAGGGGACACAGCCGAGGCCAGCAGCCUCCCGAAGGCGGGAGGCAGCCACAUAGACCAAGAGCCUUGUGACCCUCAGCUGGGCCAUCUGCACUCAGGCUCGCUGGACCCUGGACAGCUGUUGGAUUCCACCUAUCCUGCCCUCGAGGCAAAGAGGGACAGCCCCAUAGCUCAGCUUGGGGUGCAGGAGGCACCGGAGCCGCCCACAGGGGACUCUCAGACCCAGGCCAGAGCCUGCUGGGCCAAGAAGAGACCCACGGCUCCGAGGGAUGUCAGAGCGCACAGCUUCCAGGGACAUCGCCUAUACCACCUGGGGGCAGAUGGUCCUCGCUGUCCCCAGGAAGCAAGUAUGGCUGAAGGAAGCACACACCAAGCUGGACUAGAUGUUGCUGGGAGCCCCGUGGGGGAGCCCCUGGAAGUGGCGAGCAGGCUGCCCAGGGAGCUGAGGACCGAGACCUGUUGGCAGGACAGCAGCAUCCCACUGGCCGCCUCCCCAGCAGCUCCUGCGGCCCUGGAGGAGGAGGCGGCAUCCCCCACCCCGCCCAGGCCUGCUACCCCUGUGCACCCGGGCUCCGAGCCUGCAGCUGGGCUUUCCUGGGCGUCUCCGCGGUCCCCGGCGUCAUCCCCUCUGUCCUCAGCAGGCUCUGGGAGUGGCCUGGCCUGCUCCUCCCUCCAGGAGUUUCAGAAAGCCACAGCCACCCUGGUGCAGCUUUCUGACCGCUCGCUCUCCCCGUCCGGCCCAGAGGCCGAGGGCAGCCCAGGCACAGACCCCAGCUGGUCUGAAGAGCUGUCUGUGCCCGGGGACUUGGGCCCACCCUCGUCUUGGGGGCUCUGCCAGGGUGACCCUCAGUGGGGUGCUGUGCCGGGGGGUGCUGGGCUGACGACCUGGCCGGGGCUGGAGUGUGGCCAGGCUGCCCCCCCGCCUGGUGCUCCUAGGGAGGUGGCUGCGGCAGAAGACUUGGUCCCAGGGCGGAGCUGUCUGCAGACAGGCUGGCCACUGCCACCUCAAGAUGUCUGUUCUCCAAGGUCCGGGUCGGAGCUGUCAGAGGCCUCCAGCCAAGUUUGGGAUGAGGACAUUGAGGAGAACCUACUAGAACCCGGCCUGGUGGCCCAGCCCACCUCUGGGUGCUCCUCGCCUCCUGGCUCUUCCAGCUGGGAACACAGCAUGGUUGGGCCUGCCCUGGGCUCGGGGCAGGGACAGGAACCUUCUGAAACCAGCGAGAGCCUGAGUGGGGGGUCAAACACAGGGAGCCCUGAGCAGUUGUCCUCCGAGGCAGCCUCCACCAGUGACCUAGACCUGUCACUCUCAUUUCCUUCAGGGACUUCUGCAUCCAGAGGGGCUCGCUGCCAGGAGAGGGCCCGGGGGGCUGGCCCGAGCCUGUCCCCUGGAAGGAACCCCCCACAGGCCUCUCCAGGGCCUGAGGUCCCCUAUGGGCUGGCAUCCCUUGUAGCCGAGGGCCAGGCAGCUGGGUGUGCAGGGAAUGAGGCCCCCCAAGUCCCAGAGCAAGCUGGCCCCCCGCCCGGCACUGGUUUCCCAGCUGGGGCAUCGUCCCCUGUGGAUGAGGAGUGGCGGUGUGGCGGUGGGGACCUCCCGUGUGCCCCCUCCUGGGAUGCCCACCUCCCCCCACCGCCUUCCCCUCCCCCUGCAGACAGUCAUGGGGAUGAGGCCCAGCCCUGCUGCGAAGACUUCCCUUCCCCGCCCCAAGAGGCCAUGGUUCCCCAAGGCUCCCUGGGCCCCCUGGAGGAGGACAUCUCCAUUGCCACCCAGGACUUGUCCUUGUCCGAGGGGGCCCCAAAGCAGGCUCUGUCUCAGGGUUCCCAGGAGUUGGGACUUGAUCUGAGGGCAUCCUGGCUGUGCAGGGGCCCUGAGUGUGAACUGGGGGGGUUAGGAUCUGCAGUGGGGACUCAGGCCUCCAGUGGCCAGUGGUCUGAACAGAUCACCUGGCCAGAGUCGCCCUUGGGUGGAGGGGGAGGCAGUGUCCCUGGGGGGCUCCCAAGAGCACCAACAUGGCCCUCAUUCCCAUCCCGAGGGGGCUGUGUUGCCGGGGAGGGUCUGUCUGGGCUGUUGGUGGCUGGUGACCCCGAUGUGCUGAGUGUGGGACCCUGCGCUCUCAAGAAGGCCUUGGGCAGGUGCAUGGGACCCCAGGAUGGGCUGCAGUGCUUUGAGAGUACAGGGCGCCUGGGAGGCUCCAGCAGCUCCUCCGCCCCUCCCCAAGACCCGGUGCCCUUGGUGGCCCAUGGUCAGGCGGGGUCCCUGGGGCACACUGGUGAGGAGGGUGUGGAAGGCCUGAGCCACUGGGCAGAGGACUCAAUGGGCAGAGAGCUGCUCCCAGGGGAACACUCAGCCACUGGCCACCAGCCCCCGGGAUCCUGCUCUAAUUUCCUGGGCACAGAGAGGGACGACGCAGUGGCCGUGGUGUCCACCCAGCUCACCCAGAGGAUCCUGUUGGACUCCAUGGCUGUGUUGGCCCCUGGGGGCAGCCUCUAAACACUGCGAUGUCACUCUGUGACCGUGUGUGAGUGUGUGUGAGUGUAUAUGUGUGUGCGUGUGUGUGCGCAUACACACAAGAGCCUCUGGAAGCUAGCCGUUUCCUCCUGGGGUAGACGGGUCAGGCUGGCUGGCCAUCCACGGCCAGCUGUGCAGGAAGUCAUCUGACAGGGCGUCCGCUAUCUGCGAUUCUCUGCUUGUGGGCUGCAUGGCUUCCGGGUUCUCAAGGCCCCUGGCCCAAGUCAGAGAGCAGCGUGGCAGAGGCUGCGUGGGCAGCACAGAGGCUGCUGCUCAGGGCAGGCCGAGGAGCACUGCCCCAGUGGGCCUAGAGGACAGAGGGAGCAGACAAGACAGGGUAGGGCGAGGGCAGGAAGAGCCGGGGAGUGUGGAGCUGGCCAGGGCUGAGAGGAGACAGGACUUGCAGGGUGGCAGCUCAGGGCCUGCAGGUCACUUCAGCCCGGACCAGCAGAGCCUGGGGCCCUGGGCUUGUCCCCUCGGAUGGGGUCACUUCCAGCGUUGUGGGUGCCUCUGUCUCCGGUGGGCUCUCUGGGUCUCCCGGGCCCCCCUCCCUUUUCUCAGGGUCCCUGCAAGGCCACCCUGCCUCGUUCAUGUCCCAGUGAGCUCCGUACUGGGGGACCCUGAGUGGUUCUUUGGGGAGGGGGAACAUGGCUCUGUCCUGUGUCUCCUCUUUGCAGAGGUGCCCCCUUUCUCAGGACAGGUGUCCCGGGGAAGGCUGGGCUGUGGGCUCCAGCACCCAGCACCGCCUGUGUGGGGAGAAGCCAUGGGGCCGCCCCAGAGCCGCAGACCUACAGGGUCCCUGAGCGUCCCCGAUUCCACAAGCCUCUGAUAGUGCUCAGGUGUAUCUGGGAGGAGGGGGUGGGCCAGCCACAUCCCUGGGCUUCCUGGAGCGGACAGGUCCUGCAGAAUGGCCACCUGUGCUGGCUGUGCAGGAAGUCACCUUUGUGACCGUCCCCCAGGAAGUCCACCCACUUCGCUGAAGCCCAGCACGGAGCAGCGCCACAGCCACUAGUGCCAGGCUUGGAUCACCCAGGACCUCCCCAUCCACCCUUGCCCCGAGGCUAGGUGGUAGUGGGGAGUGGGUGGCAUGGGGCAUCUUAAAAUCUCAUGUGAGAGCACAUUUGGGCCUCACUUGAAGCUGCCGCAGACCUGUCCGGGGACCCAGCCUGGCAGGACAGCAGUGUCUGGGGCAGGCUGGCUGUGGGCGGGUGUCUGUGUGCUUGCUGCUUCUGUCCUGAACCUGUACCUGCCCUGCCCGCAGGGAAGCGGCUUCACACCAGCCCAGCGGCGGGUGCUCUCACCACAGAUGCAGCUUUCAGAUCUGCUUUCUGACUCCCAACCCAGGGUUUUCUGAGAGGACCUGGAGCCUGUGCUGGGAGCUCUCUGAGGCUACGCUCCAUUCCUGAGGCAGCACGCAUGUGUGUCCGUGUGUGUGUGUGUGUGUGUGUGUGUGUGUGUGUGUGUGUGUGCACACGCGUAUGUGUGUGUGUCACUCUUCUUCUAGCCAUCCCUGGUCAUUCACCAUCCAUAUACUCAUCUGUCUGUCUGCCUACCAGUCGGUGUGUCCACCGACCUUUACCAGCUCACUUCCAAAUCAUUACAAAUCAUUGUGUUGAAGCUGAACACAAGCCUGUAAUCCCAGCUACUUCAGAGGCUGAGGCAGGAGGGUUGCAAGCUCAAGGCUGGCCUGGGCAAUUUAGCGAGACCUUAUCUCAAAAAAUAAACAAAUACUAGAAGGGCUAAGGGUGUGGCUCAGUGAUAGAGAGCCUUUGCCUAGCUUAGGUGAGGCCCUGGGCUCCAUCCCCAGAGCGUCAAAAGCAAAGACAACCAAAAAGCCAAGUGUGGUGGUGCGUGCCUAUAAUCCCAGCACUGAGGAGGGUGAAGCAGGGGGAUCACUUGAGUUCAAGGCCAGCUUGAGCGACAUACUCAAUUCAAGACCAGCCUGAACUAUAUAUAUAGCGGAAAAAACCCAAAAGUUAACGUUAAAAACCCAGCUAGAACCCCAAAUGUGCCUAUGAGUUCCUUCCUGUAGCUCUGGCAGCAGCCGAUGUGACGGGAAAGGGUGAGGACAGGUGCUACACAGCCAGCGGCUUUGGAAAGUCUGUGCUGGAGCGCUCUGUGCAACACAGAGCUGGCUCAAUGCACAACUUCUGUGUUUUUAUGGAUCAGUUCAAAUUGAUGUUUAAAAACCCACUUGAAUAAAGACUGUAGACUAUGAAAGGAUUGUCGUCAGGAGAUUAUUUUCUCCUACUUCUGUACUGUCUGGUUUCCGUGGGUGACACUAUAUUCUAAACACUUUCUAUUCAGACAUCAUUCCCAUACCACGAAGCUCACCUCUUUGAGCUGUACACAUGAAUUUUAGCAUCCUUAGAAUAUUGAGUACGGGGCUGAGGAUUUAGCUCAGCAGCACAGUGCCUGCCUGGCAAGCACAAAGUCGUGAGUUCGAUUCCGGGUACAGGAAAAAAAACAAACCCCCCCCCAAAAAAAAGAAUAUUGAGUAAUUCGCCUGCAGCCCCCCACUUCUUGAAUUAGGUCCCUUCCUGGGUGGGUCCAGGUUGACAAGCAGCGCUGGCCAUGGAGAUAGUGGAGUCCAGCGCUGACCCUCAGGUCUCUGUUCCUCCCUCAGCCUCGGACCUGCACCUAACUGCACUUGGGGGCCGGGGACCUGAGCUUCCUGCCCCUGUGUGGCUUUAUUUUUAUGAGCAGGUGCUUGCAGUACACCAUAAGCACAUUCCUUGCGGGGAGUUGCCACCCGGCCAGGACACAUCUCAGUCCCUUCUCCUCCCCUUCUCUCCCCCCUCCUUCCCUUGCUUGGUCCCCUUCCUUUGUGCAAAAGACCUACCUCCCAGUUCCUAUUGUCCAUCCCUUGUCUUUAUUUAUACUUUGGAUUUCACAUAGAAGGGAAACCACGAGGCACCGAGCUUGUGCGUCUGACUUUUCUCACCGAGUGAGCAUUAGGGUUUGGUGGUCACCGGCUGUGUUGGGCAUGGCAGGAGCUGGCAGGGCAGAGGUCUGAGGUGCCAAGUCACAGGACAGGGAGCUGCCAGUGCCCUCUGGCCUGUCCCUCCGGCAAGGACCCUUGGGACACUUUUGGGGAGAGGCAGGGCCCCUUCCAGAGAGCUCCUCAUGGAGCCACAAUCUGCCACGUUUCAGGGACAGUGCUUGGCUCAGGGCCCUUCUUGGGCACCUGUGCCUAAAGACAAAUCUCAUUGAGGGAGGCACCAGCCACGGUGUCACCUGGUUCUUUCCCAGCUUUCCCAGGGCACAGAGCUCUGGGUCCAGUGGGGGAAAGUUGUCCCCUGUGUGUGUGACUUCACAUUUUGAGCUAUAGCUGUCUUAUUGAUUCCCUUCUAGUUUUCUGAGCAAAUUAGUCUGUAAUUUUUUAUUUUUUUUCUAUUUAUUGCUGACCCUUUUGGAUUUAUGAGGCCGUGUGAGAGGAAUUAUGUAUUUUACACACAUGCGUUUGGCACGGCAAUAAAUCUCUUACAUUGAAACUCUGCAGAUUUGCCUCAAAUUCAAUACCAAAACUCAAUCUCAUUGCUCGGGCUUCUUGCCAACAGCUCGCAGUGUUGGGGUACACGUAGGAGAACCAGGGUCUCCCCAGAAUGUUCUGACCUGGGAGCCUGGCAGGUAUAUCACAUUGCCAGAGUCAUUUUCGGCCUUGGCAUGGUGCCCUUGAAGGGAGGCUGGGCACAGGAACUAAUGGCAAAGCAGGCCAUGCCUCCUGUGACAGUGCUGGAGGGGGCCGGGGCUAUCAAACGGCUGUGGUGGGCGGAGGAAAAGUAUAUCCAUCGAAGGUGCUGGACACAUUUUAUGUCCCGACGUGUGCAGAGCCCGGCUCCAGCAUGCAGAUGCAGUGACCGGGUGAAGCUGUCCCACAGGACCCUCCCUCCAAGGUCUCCGGCUCUGAUCUUCGGUAACCACUCAGCCCAAUAAAUCCUGACACCAGUCUCGGGAGAAGUCAUUAUGUUUCAUAGAAAGUGGUUAUUUCUCUGUUAAACCCCACGUUUAAUUUUCCAGCGAUCUGUCUCUUUCUGCAUCCUGCUUAUUGCGUCCCUCCUGCAUAGAAAACCAUCCUGCCAUUGGCCUUUGUGCCCCACAUCCCACGUCACCAAGGGAGCCUCCCAGGUCCUUGGAUUCCCGUCCCUGCACAGCCACUCACACAGCCCACACCAAAGGCCACCCUUUCAGUUUACAGAGUGACAGCCGUGCGCUGCUGGGGUGCCAUGUCCACUGCUGCUCUCAAAAUUCUUGGGGUGAAGGACUGUAGAGGAUGAAGAAAUAAAGACAAGGAUCAGGAAGCAGAAAGCUAAGGUCAGGUGGAGCCCCCUCUCCAGAUGGGAGAAAGGAACUGCUCAAGGACUGCGGUGCAUUUACUUACACACUCGGCAGGUUGAUGUCACGUGCAGCCUCUGUCUAGCAACCUGCUUGCCUGGCUGCCUCAGGUUCUCUGUGUUCUCAGAGCUGGAACGGCUUGUUCAUGUGGCUGGCCUCGGGCGCUCUGCACGUGUGAUCAAUCUCCAGUUUCAGCCGAUCCCCACACUGGGGGACACGGUGGCACUGGUUCUGACACGCCAGCAUGCCCACACCCGGGGUGUUUGGUUGCUGGGGCUGGGAGCCGGGUAAGCUCACUUGCCUUCCAAAUGGGGCUGGCCCUGUGCCCAAGAUGCCCUGCCCAAACCAAACCAGGCUCAGGAAGUCAGCCUUUCCCAUGCUAGCACCCCAAGUGGCCUCUGGGACCCCAAGAAAUAUACAGAGCUCAUCCUUCUCCAGGGCCCUGUCCUGUUUGCCCACACCAUGGCAACCACGCCCAUCAAGCUGCUUUUCUGCAUUGCCCCCAACAACUGUCUCCCUUUGCGCCAGCUGAGGCCCCUCCCUGAUGUCCCAAGGACACAGAAGA